rfam:Dipodomys ordii contig_64612, whole genome shotgun sequence.
GGGAAGGUGGCUCAGUGGUAGAGUGCUUGCCUAGCAUGCAUGAAGCCUUGGGUUCGAUUCCUCAGUACCA